AACGAACGUUAGCGGCGCGCCUAACACAUGCAAGUCGCACGAGAAAGGGCUUCGGCCCCGGUAAAGUGGCGCACGGGUGAGUAACACGUGGGUAACCUUCCCUCGAGCGGGGAAUAACAUUCCGAAAGGAGUGCUAAUACCGCAUAAGACCACGGCUUCGAAAGGAGCUGAGGUAAAAGCUGGCCUCUUCAUGAAAGCUAGCACUCGAGGAUGGGCCCGCGGCCCAUCAGCUUGUUGGUAGGGUAACGGCCUACCAAGGCUAAGACGGGUAACUGGUCUGAGAGGAUGAUCAGUCACACUGGAACUGAGACACGGUCCAGACUCCUACGGGAGGCAGCAGUGGGGAAUCUUGCGCAAUGGACGAAAGUCUGACGCAACAACGCCGCGUGGGUGAUGAAGGCCUUCGGGUUGUAAAGCCCUGUGGGGAGAGACGAAUAAGUCUUGGCUAAUAUCCAAGAUGAUGACGGUAUCUCCUUAGCAAGCACCGGCUAACUCUGUGCCAGCAGCCGCGGUAAGAC
rnacentral:rRNA from 1 species